CCCUUAGAUGUUCUGGGCGGCCCGCGCACUACACUGGCACUCUCAAUCAGAGCCUGGAUCUAACACUUUGGGGUAUUCUAUGAAGUGGUGUCGUGACUGGGAUUAACCCUUGCAAUUAUUGGUUACGAACGAGGAAUUCCUUGUAAUCGCGGUUUAUCAGCCCGCGUUGAAUGCGUCCCUGCCCUUUGUACACACCGCCCGUCGCUCCUACCGAUUGGGUGUGCUGGUGAAAUGUUCGGAUCGGCCGUUUGUCGCGGUUUCCGCGUCAUGUGGCUGAGAAGUUCAUUAAACCCUCCCACCUAGAGGAAGGAGAAGUCGUAACA
rnacentral:rRNA from 1 species